rnacentral:misc_RNA from 1 species
UCCGGUUCUUCACCAGCAGUCUCCUUAGAGUCCCCACCAUUACGUGUUGGCAACUAAGGAUAAGGGUUGCGCUCGUUACGGGACUUAACCCAACAUCUCACAACACGAGCUGACGACAGCCAUGCAGCACCUGUCUCUACGUUCCUUUCGGCACAACCGCUUCUUUGCAGUCUUCGUAGGAUGUCAAGGGUAGGUAAGGUUCUUCGCGUUGCAUCGAAUUAAACCACAUGCUCCACCGCUUGUGCGGGCCCCCGUCAAUUCCUUUGAGUUUUAAUCUUGCGACCGUACUCCCCAGGCGGAAGACUUAUCGCGUUUGCUUCGAUACUGAUGCGUCUUAGCACACCAACAUCUAGUCUUCAUCGUUUACAGCGUGGACUAC